UACUUGACGCGAGCGCGUUGAUUGUUCAUUUGGAGUUGCUUCUCCUUCUUCUUCUUCAUCGAUCUAGGAUGGGUUCCAGGCCGGCAGCCUGGGAUAGCAAGGAUGGACGUCGUUCUUCUUUUGUCGUUUGUUUUCGUCCGUAGUCGGACCCUGCUCUUACUCUUGAUGAUUAUGUAAUGUACUGAUGUGACUCUGAUGUAGC
rnacentral:lncRNA from 1 species